rnacentral:rRNA from 1 species
CCUACGGGAGGCAGCAGUGGGGAAUAUUGCACAAUGGGCGCAAGCCUGAUGCAGCCAUGCCGCGUGUGUGAAGAAGGCCUUCGGGUUGUAAAGCACUUUCAGCGGGGAGGAAGGCGGUGAGGUUAAUAACCUCAUCGAUUGACGUUACCCGCAGAAGAAGCACCGGCUAACUCCGUGCCAGCAGCCGCGGUAAUACGGAGGGUGCAAGCGUUAAUCGGAAUUACUGGGCGUAAAGCGCACGCAGGCGGUCUGUCAAGUCGGAUGUGAAAUCCCCGGGCUCAACCUGGGAACUGCAUUCGAAACUGGCAGGCUAGAGUCUUGUAGAGGGGGUAGAAUUCCAGGUGUAGCGGUGAAAUGCGUAGAGAUCUGGAGGAAUACCGGUGGCGAAGGCGGCCCCCUGGACAAAGACUGACGCUCAGGUGCGAAAGCGUGGGGAGCAAACAGGAUUAGAUACCCCAGUAGUC